rnacentral:rRNA from 1 species
UAGGGAAUAUUGCUCAAUGGGCGAAGCCUGAAGCAGCAACGCCGCGUGUGCGAUGAAGGCCUUCGGGUCGUAAGCACUUUUGAGAGAUGCAGUAUCUCAGGAAUAAGUCUCGGCUAACUACGUGCCAGCAGCCGCGGUAAACGUAGGAGGCGAGCGUUAUCCGGAUUCACUGGGCGUAAAGCGCGUGCAGGCGGUUCGGUAAGUUGGGCGUGAAAUCUCCUGGCUUAACUAGGAGAGGUCGUUCAAUACUACCGGGCUUGAGAGUGGUAGAGGAAGAUGGAAUUCCAGGUGUAGUGGUGAAAUGCGUAGAUAUCUGGAGGAACACCAGUGGCGAAAGCGAUCUUCUGGACCAUUCUGACGCUCAGACGCGAAAGCUAGGGUAGUAAACGGGAUUAGAUACCCUAGUAGU